rnacentral:tmRNA from 1 species
GGGGAUGAUCGGUUUCGACAUUGCUUGCGAAUCUGCGAGAAGCGGGCCAAGGAUGCCGGGUUAUCUUGUGAACGCUCCCGGCAAAAACUAAGUGCAGAUGCAAAGCGCACUGACUUCGCCCUCGCUGCUUAAGCGAGCCCGAUAGUCCGUCAGGCCGUAGGCGACCCCGCUACGGAUCCUGGCGUCAUUUAGGGGUCUAGCUGCACAGAGGAGUCUGGACUCUGUGUGGGACAUCUACAGACUGGGCUUGUCGACUUAGGUGUUUGUGGCAAAGGUCGGAGCCGAGUAGAACGUUUUCACAAACUGCGCCCGGAGAAGCCCCAGAGACUCAGCGAUGGACGGGGGUUCGAUUCCCCCCAUCUCCACCA